rnacentral:snRNA from 1 species
GUGCUUGCUUCGGCAGCACAUAUACUAAAAUUGGAAUGAUCAGAAGAUUAGCAUGGCCCCUGCGCAAGAAUGACACGUAAACUUGUGAAGCGUUCCAUAUUAAA